UUUUUCCCAACACUUCCUACUUUCUUUAUUUUUUCUUUCUUUGUCUCUCUCUCGUUCUAAAUGAAAAUUUUGUAUUAGAAAUUUGGGCUAGGGUUUGUUGUCAAAGGAGGUGGAGGAAUAAGAAUAAGGUUGCAGCAGCAGCAGCAGCGGCGGCAAUGGGGAAGGCAAUUAAGUUCCCAAGGAUCAGUGAGGGAGUUCAAAAACUGCUAGAUGUUGACAUAGAUUCUACAUCGCAACAACCAUUAUAUUUUCCUCUGCCACCACCAUCUCCCUUAUUCAAUUUUCAAACAGAUAAUGAUGGUUUUAGUUUGAACAACAAGGUAAGUCCGAGUAUACUUCUAAUCAUUAAUUAUCAUAUAGGCUAUUAUAUUCUUUGUAUCUGGUUUGUUUUACCUUCUUGUAUGAUUUAUCUUGAGACCCCCAAAUAGAGACCUAGAUGAUUUGGAUGAUGCUUACUACCUGUAGACUGAAAUUGUUCAUUGCUUUUCAUCUCUGGGUUCUAUCACAAUUUCAAUUACUGGGCUAUUUUCUUAUAAAAGUCACCAUUAACUUGAAUAUGAAUGAAGAAUCCUUCCCUUGCACUUUCAAAUGUUCUUGAUUUGGUGUUUAUUAAUUGCUUGCUGCUUACUACCUAUAGACUGAAAUUGUUCAUCCUCUCUACUGAAGUACCAUCUAUUUGCUCUAGCAUUUUGAGCAAGGAAAAUAGUAAACAUUUUAUUUGUUUGGUUAUAAAUCAAUGAAAUUCUAUGCAGUCAUAGUUGGGGUGGCUCCAAUUGACAGACUAUCUAUAUUUGGUGUUUUAGAAUCGCUUGCUGCGUACUACCUAUAGACUGGAAUUGUUCAUCCUCUCUACUGAAGUACCAUCUAUUUGCUCCAGCAUUUUGAGUAGGGAAAAUAGUAAAGAUUUUGUUUUGUUUGGUUAUAAAUCAAUGAAAUUCUAUGCAGUCAUAGGUGGGGUGGCUCCGAUUGACAGACUAUCUAUAUUUGCCUAGUUAUGGGUUAUCUAAGCUUUAAUUUUGAUCUGUUACAUGAAAUAUUGUUUGUUUUGUUUUUGUAUUUAUCUUGCACUAAAGAAACACAUAAUCUUCAGAAAGUUGCAAUGUUGAAGAAGUUCCUAUUGAGAGGAGAAUUAUUUAGGGAUAUAGUCAAACUUUUGAGUUAUUUGAAAAUAUAUACAAAUGCUUGAUAAGACCCUGAAUUUUCUCCAACUGUGUUGAGGUGAUUAGUUACCCUCGAAUAUUUUCUACCCACGAGACUGAACAAUUGCUCACUUUUAACAUUCUAUUGUCUACAUAUGUGAUUGUUUACAUCGGCAAGCUUUGGCUGAUGCAGCACAAACCAAGUCUUAGUUUUGGAGAUUUGUUUUGCUGCAAUUAUCUAUACUCAGAGCUGACAUUUUGUCAGAUGAGAUUGGCAAUGAGAUGGCAGAGAUAGAAGCUCUCCUGGUGGAAGCAGCUGAACUUGUGGACGCAUCACAGCCAAAGAACCCAAACUAUUACAGGUAAAGGUAGUUAAAACAGUGAACAUAUGAUUUUACCAAUUCUAUGUUUGUUGUUGAGCAAGGGGGAGGUCAACCUAUGUACAACCAGAGUAGUGAGAAGGCUGCACAAACCUUAAAAAAAUUAUUGCCUAUUGUUAUUAUUUAUAGGUUACUCAGUUUACUGAUCAUGAUUAUAUGUUCUGUUAGCCUCAUUGUGGGUUACCAGGGGACUGUUUAGUUAUUAGAAUGAGCAGCCUGUUAUCUUGCAAGUCUUCUCCAUUUUUAGUUAUGGAUUUUGCUAUGAUUAGAGUAGUAAAUAAGCCCAAAUUAAAGCCCAUGCUUAACCCCUUUUGUGUCCCAAACCGGCAGCUACAUAGGGUCAUAUAGAGCUGAAUUGGAUUGGUUAUAAUAGCUAGUUCAGUUAGCAGAUUAGUUGUCUAGUAGUUAGGGGCUAAGCUCAUUAGGGAGGUUAUGUUAUGAUUGUUCUCUAGAAGUUGCAUAGCUGGGUUGGAAGUGCUGACAAUGACCUUAGUAGGGGGCAAGCUAGGGGCUGGAUAGAGGUAAGAGGGAGAGCAGAUAAAAGCCUUGUAGGGGCAGAAUAGAGGCAAUGAUGGAUUACAGCUUAGGGGCCAAGUAGAUUGAUGAGAGAGAGGUUAAGAUCAUCCAUACAUGGCAGCUCAUUGCACCCAAGUUCAGAUUGCUACAUCACUUUGCUAAGCUUCAAAUUAAAAUAGUAGCAUAUAGGGAGAGAUAGAGAGCUCGGAUGGGAAGGGGCAAGCUAAACAAGAUCAACACCUUCAUUCUCUAUGAUAGCAAGGUGAUCAUUCCAUUUCAGUUCCCUUCCCAUUUAUUUACUGAGACAACUGUUAGUGACCAGGUAGCUUAGUAUUAACUACUAUAUUGAAUAGUUAGUGUAGUAAUUGUUAUGAGAAUAACCUGGUGGCUGUGAGUUGUUAUUGUGGUUGUGGUGUUAAAUAAUGAUGGUUCAUCUUAUAAGAUCAGUAGCCAUAAGGCUGGAACCAAGUUGCUUUUAAUAUAUGUACUAUGUUCCUAUAUGUGGAUUGCACCCUACAUGUAUGAUAAAUUGCCAAGCUAAGGACUGAUGUGGCAUCUAUGAAUAUUAACUAUGAUUUAAACUAGUGUCAAAUUGCUUAUAUAAGUAUACUCUAUGCUUGACCUUAACAUGUCUCAAAAUAACUAACAAUCUAAGGUAGAUUAACACUUGAGACAAAACGAAAAGUCCGAAAGAUUGUGACUGCUGACCCUAAAACAUAAAUUCGGGGACAGUAUAUGUAUCCAGAAAAUUCUGGGCUUUUGGGGUAUUAUAGUACACUGAAUAAGCUUUCCAUAGACUCCGAAACGAACUAAUUCCGACUUCGGAGUAAAGAGUUACGACCAUUCAAAGUAGUCGCGUCAAAACUGCCCAACCAAUUCCGACCAGUCUCCUUUGCACGAAAUUCUGGAAUUCUGUGUUUUGAAUUUGAAAAUGGUCAAAGAAUGAAAGUUGUAGCCCCAGAAGUUAGCUUCGCGUGGGCUCAAGAAUCGCUCAAAAAUGUUUUGAAACAAAAAAGUUAUGACUGUUUUAGCGAGAGAGGGUAAAGCUGGAAAAUAAUUAAAAAACUGUUAUGACAGAGCAUUUUUGGAGCCUUGUUUGGGCUGUUUAAAGUUUCUGAAAUGGGUGGCUUAUAUUUUCUAAAUAUAGUCUACUAGGGUGUCUUCAAUAUAUCAAAAAUUGGUUGAUAUCCGAGCUACAAGCGAACAGUUAAAAACUUGCUAAAUUUCUUAAAGUGUUCGGCUAUUAUUAACCUUUUUACUCAAUUAAGAAGUUAGUCAAGAAACUAAAGAUAUAAUUUAGGCUGGAACUUUGUUCGGCAUCAGCAGGGGAAGAAGGAAUUGCACAUAGCAUGUCUAUAAGAGAUUAAGUUCAGUUUAUUGAACUAUCAUAGUAAAGUUAGUUCUACCUUUGUGUUCUAAAAAGUAAGUAUUGACUGCUUAUGUAAAAUUUAAUAUGUAAUUGCUGUGACAUUUGGGAUAUUAGCAGGAUGGCGUUUAGUGUUGUUGUGUGGUGAUAUAAGGAAGCAAAAAUGGGUUUAAUAACACAAACAAAUGGCUAUGAAAAUGGCUUUUUAAAACAGCGCUCACUAUUUGUUUGAUAAAAUUCCCCAAUGAACUAUUUUGUUUAAAAAUAAAAAAUUAGACGAAACUAGAGCUUGGGUUAGAUAUAUAUAGAUAUAUAUCAUAUAUGAUGAUAAUUAAAGAGUUUGGGCAUACUAAGUUAAAGCGAAAAGCAAUUUUAAGCUUAAAUGAUGAUAAUUAAAGAGUUUGGGCAUACUAAGUUAAAGCGAAAAGCAAUUUUAAGCUUAAAAGAAAAGUUGGAAUUUAGUAUGUCAAACUACUUUUGAACACUGAUUUGGGCAGCUUAAAGAAUUCGAAAUGGGGAGUUGAUAAUUUUUAAAUAUAGUCUAAUAUGUUAUAUAUAACAUAUUUAAAAUGGUUGUAAUCCAUCACAUGAGCUAUGAAUGGUAAAAUCAAGAAGUUGACACAUUGUGCGCAAAGCUGCUGCCCACGGCAACAGCAGUAGACAGCAAUGGUCGUUGCAGGGCAGCACAUGGAGCUUCCUUUGCAGUCCUACUUGAUGUGUCCCAAAAUGCUUGGUUGGUAUUUUUAUAUAAUAGGUAGGUAUACUACCUAUAUAAUAUCCAAAAUUCAACUUAACUAUACUAAUGAAGUAUAAGAUAUAAAUUGUUGAAGUGAAGGUCAAGGAGUAAGGGCUGACGCCCAACGGCAGCAGCGAGCAAUUCCGAGCAACAACAGAGGCUGUUUUGGCGAGUUAGUUUAAUGUUGUGUUGAGUUUGCUAAUUGAGCUGUAAAGAUUAGCUUAAUAUUUUCUAUAAUAGGUGAGUAUAUCACCUAUACUAUCUCUAAAUAUUUGAUAUAAAAAAAGAAAAAAAUUUAUUCCGCAUUUUAGGUAUUUUAACAUUAAAUAAUAUUUUAAAGCUAGAACAUGUUACUAUUAACGCACAAGAUCGGGAAGGAAAAUAGUCCCGAUUUUGGGGGUGUUACAUUCUUUAUAUUACACUUGCCUUGUUUGUAUAAUAAUAAUUGAGAAGUUUAUAUUUACCACUCAUUGUAUAUUGAUAGAAGUAUCAGAAGUUUAUAUUUCAUGUUUCUUUCAUUUAAAGUAAUUGUAUAGAAUGAAAAUUUUGAAUAGUUACUUUGUGGAAUAUGUGGAGCUUUUUGGUAUAAUGUAUUUUAUCUUUUGUAUGGUUUUAAUUUUCAAAAGAGGUUUUUAUUUUCUUUAUUUUUUUUAAUUUAAGUUCACCAGUUUCAUCUUUUCUUAUUCCUCGUCUUAUUGAAAUUGAAUUUUGGUGUUUAUUGCAGGAUGAAGUUUACAUGCCUAACCUUGAUUUUCUUGAAGAAAAUGAUGAUGAAGUGGAUCUAACAUGUCACACUUUAUUCCUUCUAGUUCAUUGUUAUUCUUUCAGUUUUCUUAUGUUAGUUAAAAAAUUUUGUAGGUACUAUGGUCCUUGUGAGACCAAGAUACAAUAUAUAACAAAUUUUGUAGUUAUUGUGACUCGAGUAUUAUGAUCUAUUUAUAUGAGAAGUUUUGAUUUUAUUAGCUCUUUAUGCAUUAGCUUAUCAAUUAG
rnacentral:lncRNA from 1 species